rnacentral:rRNA from 2 species
UGCCAAAAAGCUAGCCCGCCUGCCAAACUAACAACCAAACAUAAAUAACCCCGAAUACCCCAAACAAAACAAAACAAACCAUUUUCCCAUCCUAGUAUGAGCGACAGAAAAG